UGGACGGAUUAUUGUAUUCGAUUGUAUUCGACUGUAUUCACGGCGUGAAACAGGGAAUUACACUGUUUUUAAACGGGAAGUGAAUCAAUUAACAUAAUAGACUCCU
rfam:Nicotiana attenuata strain TT chromosome 9, whole genome shotgun sequence.